UGGCGGACGGGUGAGUAAUGUCUGGGAAACUGCCUGAUGGAGGGGGAUAACUACUGGAAACGGUAGCUAAUACCGCAUAACGUCGCAGGACCAAAGAGGGGGACCUUCGGGCCUCUUGCCAUCGGAUGUGCCCAGAUGGGAUUAGCUAGUAGGUGGGGUAACGGCUCACCUAGGCGACAAUCCCUAGCUGGUCUGAGAGGAUGACCAGCCACACUGGAACUGAGACACGGUCCAGACUCCUACGGGAGGCAGCAUG
rnacentral:rRNA from 1 species